rnacentral:rRNA from 1 species
AACGAACGCUGGCGGCAUGCCUAACACAUGCGAGUCGAACGAGACCUUCGGGUCUAGUGGCGCACGGGUGCGUAACGCGUGGGAACCUGCCCUUAGGUUCGGAAUAACUCCCCGAAAGGGGUGCUAAUACCGGAUAAUGUCUUCGGACCAAAGAUUUAUCGCCUUUGGAUGGGCCCGCGUUGGAUUAGCUAGUUGGUAGGGUAAAAGCCUACCAAGGCGACGAUCCAUAGCUGGUCUGAGAGGAUGAUCAGCCACACUGGGACUGAGACACGGCCCAGACUCCUACGGGAGGCAGCAGUGGGGAAUAUUGGACAAUGGGCGAAAGCCUGAUCCAGCAAUGCCGCGUGAGUGAUGAAGGCCUUAGGGUUGUAAAGCUCUUUUACCCGGGAUGAUAAUGACAGUACCGGGAGAAUAAGCACCGGCUAACUCCGUG